UUGUUUGAUGUAGAAUGGCUGGGGCGUUUAGCCUAAUGAUGUAAAGGUCAUAUCCAACAAGCCUUCAAAAUAAAACCUAUUGACUAUGUCAGACUGUCGGUUUGGACAAUGGUCCAAAAAUACUUAAGGCUACUGUAACAAAUAAAGAACUUAAGGAUGGGAAAGGGGUGGGGCUGCCUCUCUGGCAAACAAAUCAGUGAACGCAUGAACUCCAUGACUGACAGUUAAUUUCAUAACAAAACAAUGCUCCGUGUCAUUUGAGACAAGGUGCAACUAGGGAGGGAGGGAACCAGCUGUCAACAAUGAUUAUUGUUAGCUUAUUUUUUCGGUGUUUUUUUUUGUAAGGGACAUUUCGUGAGUCUCUAGCCUGACAGUCCUACUCCCUCUUCUUCCUCCUCCUCUUCUUCCUCCACGGUGUUUCCAGAACCAACGCUGUUCCGAGUUCGUGACCAUUCUAACGAGAAUCCUUACCCACCGCGAGCACACAAAUAAAGAAAACCUAGGACGUGCGCGUGCCUUCCGUCGUUUUUCUUCAUGAGACUUCACACCGGUGAACACAGUUGACUGCUCGCCCUCCUGCAGGCUCUAAGCACGAGGGAAUCACAGGCAUCGGUCCGUCAAAUGCAUACAUGGAAACAACAAUUACCGGCUGAAGAAAAACACAGUCACGCACAGACACCUGCGUGAGAAUAGAAGGCGCGGCGCCUGAUCCUUACAGCUUGUCGGGUUCGUUCAACGGAAAACUGGAUAUUUCUGUGUCUUUUUGGGGAGGGGGUAAGCGACAGUAGAUACAUGAGAGGAAGGGUAGCAGUCUGAAUAGCACGGAGGGUGUCUCGGAGAUGUCAUAAACAGGUUCUACCAGAACCACGACAACAGCAGGAGAGUCAUUGUGUUGGAUUUGGAUAAAAAGGAAGAGAAAAAAAAAAACUAUUAUUAUAUCAUCUUUAUCUCUCGGAAUUAUACCACUACGAGGUGACGUCCAUUGUUUAUGGGAAGCCAUUGACAACAAUCAUUUUGCAAUGAUAUGUUUUCCCUCCAGUAGGUCUGGUUGGUGAUUGAUUUCCAUGACAGGUUGGAGAACCAUUGGAGCAUCUGGUAUCAUCAGCGGGCAUAUGUGCUAAAUUAGGUCUCUACGUGUAUUAUUUGAGGGUCUGUAGCCUGUAAUAGCAGCAGCAGAUUUCUUUUGUGCAUUGUUCUAUUUCCUAUAGCAUCCUACUCUCUCCCCCCCUCCCCUGGUAAUCCCGGGUGUGCAUGUGUUGCACUUGCGAGCGUUCUCCCCUCCUUCCCUCCUGUUGAGGCGUGCGGUACUCAUAGAGUUGUGGUUGUGAUGCCGGGAACUUACUGGAGACAUGCCUAAGGGACGCAAUGGGCUUGAGCGACGAGAAGGAUCGCAUUGUGAUAAACGUGGGAGGUAUCAAACAUCAGACAUAUCGCGGUACCCUGCGUACCCUGCCCGGCACCCGUUUAUCCUGGCUCGCCGAACCCGACGCGCCUAGCCACUUCGACUGGGAUGACAAACAUGAGGAAUUCUUUUUCGACCGCCACCCGGGUGUUUUCGCCCAUAUCCUUAAUUAUUACCGGACAGGUAAACUGCACUGCCCUGCCGAUGUCUGCGGACCCCUGUAUGAGGAGGAACUGGCCUUCUGGGGCAUCGACGAGACGGACGUGGAGCCGUGCUGUUGGAUGACCUAUAGCCAGCAUCGGGAGGCGGAAGAGGCACUUGAUAGUUUCGGCGGGGGGGCCCUGCUCGACUUGACUGGUAACGAUGAUCCAGACCCGGAGAUUGCAGCCGACCAGGGGGACGGGGUUGGUGAUGAGGCUGAUGAGAUGACAAGGAGGCUGGCACAGGGGGAUUCUCCAGAUGCCAAGGCAGGGGGGGUUUGGGGCCGCUGGCAGAAACGCAUGUGGGCUCUGUUUGAAGACCCUUACUCCUCUAAAUACGCAAGGUGGAUAGCCCUGGCCUCUCUGUUCUUCAUCCUCGUGUCCAUCUCCACCUUCUGUCUGGAGACCCACGAGUUCUUCAACCCCAUCGUGAACCGCACCGAGCUGGAGCUGGUGGACAACGUGACGGUGGAGCAUGUGUACCAGGAAACGGAGACGGUGGUCUAUCUCACCUACAUCGAGGGCGUCUGCGUGGUCUGGUUUACCUUUGAGUUCAUGAUGCGAGUCAUAUUCUGUCCGGACAAGAUGGAGUUCAUGAAGAAAGCUCUCAACGUCAUCGACUUCGUGGCUAUCUUACCGUUCUACCUGGAGGUCGGGCUGAGCGGACUGUCGUCUAAAGCGGCCAAGGAUGUUCUGGGGUUCCUGAGGGUGGUGAGGUUUGUCAGGAUCCUGCGUAUCUUCAAGCUGACCCGUCACUUUGUGGGCUUGAGGGUUCUGGGUCACACGUUACGGGCUAGCACUAAUGAGUUCCUCCUCCUCAUCAUCUUCCUCGCCCUCGGAGUUCUCAUCUUCGCCACGAUGAUCUACUACGCCGAACGGAUGGGAGCGGACCCGACCGACCCGCGCGCCAGCGAUCACACGCACUUCAAGAACAUCCCCAUCGGAUUCUGGUGGGCCGUUGUUACCAUGACGACCCUUGGCUACGGCGACAUGUACCCCCAGACGUGGUCGGGUAUGCUUGUCGGAGCGCUGUGCGCCCUGUCGGGUGUACUGACCAUCGCCAUGCCCGUCCCCGUAAUCGUCAACAACUUUGGAAUGUAUUACUCCCUGGCCAUGGCUAAACAGAAGCUACCAAAGAAGAAGAACAAGCAUAUCCCGCGAGCACCCCAACCAGGAUCACCCAACUACUGUAAGUCCAGCAUCAACUCUCCUCCAACGCCCCAUAAAGCACCGCUCCUUCCUGAAAGCCCGAACUUAGUCCACCCUGUUUUGGCUCUGGCUCAAAACAUGGCUCUGACACACGACGACGUCUUUGAAGUAAAGUUUUCAGAUUCCAAGCUGAAUGGGGAAGCGGCCAACGCAGCUCUAGCCAAUGAGGACUGUCCUCAUAUAGACCAGGCCAUCUCGCCAGAGGAGAUCUUCAGCCCCAGCGAGAGAGAACGGCCUUGUUGUCUUGUCACCACAGCUGCAGAACGACCCAACCACACAGGGGGUAGAGUCAGGAGGGGUACGUACACCUACAGUAACAGCCAAACACAGCCCAACCACACAGGGGGAAGAGGGAGGAGAGUUACGUACUGUAACAGCCAAACACAGGCCACUAUCAAACGUGUUGCAUUCCCUACGACUUGAUUAUUGACAACCACAUACACAAGGUCAACCCGUGGCCCAACACACACAGAUGCAGGUUUACCUUUAUUGUCACAAGUCUUGUCCUGGAGCCAGAACUGAGCGAUUUCCACUUAGAUAGGCCAGCUGCAAAGUUAAAACUGGCUAUAUUGUAAAAAUGUAUGAAAGUAAAAAUGUAUGAAAAUAAAAAUGUGCUUUUUGGUUAAAAAAAAGUUCAGCUUCAUUCAUCUCCAGCACCAUCCCAACAUCAACUAAUGCGAAAAUGGCACAUUUCUAAGUUUUGUAGUAAAUAAUAGUGUUUCCAAUGACAUCACAACCAAUUAGUAGGCAAUGCCUCCUCAUAAUUGGUUAAAAUAGCAUGAUGCGCACAGAUGAAUGUCAUUGGAAAUGACACCUUCCUUUAUCUUUUUGACUACAAAACAUAGAAACAUGACAUUUUGACAUAUGCUGGACAUAAUGAAUAUGAAGUAAUAUGUUCCCCUUUAAGGUUCUGCAUUAGGCUUAAAACCUGAUUUCAUGACUUUGUGGCUGUACUAGCUAGCUGCUUCCAGAACAACAUUCAUGACGAAAACCGCUAACAGAGCUGCUUCCAGAACAACAUUCAUGACGAAAACCGCUAACCUGACACACAGACAGACGCACAUGCAUGUGUACACACACACACACACACGCAUGUGCACGUGCAACACACAAACACACACAUAGGGCUUGGCAAUAUAUUGUGAAUACUGGUAUACCUGUAUGGAUCCACAUACCGGUAUGGAUUUUUUACAAUACCGUCUAUAACGAUAUUUUUGAUAAAUUGCUAAUUUGAAUGAAAAGUGUCAGCUUUGUUCUAGUUUGGUUGAGUAGAAAACCACCAGCAUGUAAAAGACAUUACAAAUACUUAGAACUAAUGUGUUAUCAUAUAAGGCACAUGCACUAUUCAUAAAACAUAUUGCAAACUUGUAUUAUUCUGGAACAUAAAAUACCACAAUACUGCCCAAAAUGAGAAAAAUAUUGGGAUAUUAUGUGUUGGUGAUAUUGCCUAGCCCUACACCCAUAUCCACAUCCUCACCCACCAACACACAGGGUUCCCUGAUCACAGUAAUACAACAAUCGAAUACAAUGUGAAACAAAACAACAAUCGAAUACAAUGUGAAACAAAACAACAAUCGAAUACAAUGUGAAACAAAACAACAAUCAAAAUACAGAACAAGACAAAAUGUAAGAAAAGCAGUUACAUUCCUCAACCACGAGGUCCUCAGAUCCUAGGUCCUCAGCCACGAGGUCCUCAGAUCCUAGGUCCUCAGCCACGAGGUCCUCAGAUCCUAGGUCCUCAGCCACGAGGUCCUCAGAUCCUAGGUCCUCAGCCACGAGGUCCUCAGAUCCUAGGUCCUCAGCCACGAGGUCCUCAGCCACGAGGUCCUCAGAUCCUAGGUCCUCAGCCACGAGGUCCUCAGAUCCUAGGUCCUCAGCCACGAGGUCCUCAGCCACGAGGUCCUCAGAUCCUAGGUCCUCAGCCACGAGGUCCUCAGCCACGAGGUCCUCAGAUCCUAGGUCCUCAGCCACGAGGUCCUCAGCCACGAGGUCCUCAGAUCCUAGGUCCUCAGCCACGAGGUCCUCAGAUCCUAGGUCCUCAGCCACGAGAUCCUCAGAUCCUAGGUCCUCAGCCACGAGGUCCUCAGCCACGAGGUCCUCAGAUCCUAGGUCCUCAGCCACGAGGUCCUCAGAUCCUAGGUCCUCAGCCACGAGGUCCUCAGAUCCUAGGUCCUCAGCCACGAGGUCCUUAGCCACGAGGUCCUCAGAUCCCAGGUCCUCAGCCACGAGGUCCUCAGAUCCUAGGUCCUCAGCCACGAGGUCCUCAGCCACGAGGUCCUCAGAUCCUAGGUCCUCAGCCACGAGGUCCUCAGAUCCUAGGUCCUCAGCCACGAGGUCCUCAGAUCCUAGGUCCUCAGCCACGAGGUCC